UACGUAGGGUGCGAGCGUUGUCCGGAAUUAUUGGGCGUAAAGAGCUUGUAGGCGGUUUGUCGCGUCUGCUGUGAAAAUCCGGGGGCUCAACUGCAGGCUGGCGGUCGGAUACGGGCAGGCUGGAGUUCGGUAGGGGAGACUGGAAUUCCUGGUGUAGCGGUGAAAUGCGCAGAUAUCAGGAGGAACACCGGUGGCGAAGGCGGGACUCUGGGCCGAUACUGACGCUGAGGAGCGAAAGCGUGGGGAGCAAACGGG
rnacentral:rRNA from 1 species